AUUGCUUCUCUGGCUUUUGACUAAGAUCAAGUGUAGUAUCUGUUCUUAUCAGCUUAAUAUUUGAUAUGUCCUCUACUUGAGGACACUAUAUUAAGUGAAUUUUUAGAAUAGGGAGUCGGGAUAGGGACUUGCUCUGUCCACUCCGCGGAUCGACUUGGUAUUGCAGUACUUCCAGGAACGGUGCACCCCCC
rnacentral:snRNA from 1 species